UACAGAGACCUCAAGCGUUAUCCGGAUUUACUGGGCGUAAAGCGUGUGUAGGCGGCUUGGCAAGUUGGAUGUGAAAGCCCACGGCUCAACCGUGGAAGCGCAUCCAAAACUGCUUCGCUCGAGCCUCGGAGAGGAAGGUGGAAUGCUUGGUGUAGAGGUGAAAUUCGUAGAUAUCAAGCAGAACACCUGCGGCGAAGGCGGCCUUCUGGACGAUGACUGACGCUGAGACACGAAAGCGUGGGGAGCAAACAGG
rnacentral:rRNA from 1 species